UACGAAGGGGGCGAGCGUUGUUCGGAAUCACUGGGCGUAAAGAGUGCGUAGGCGGUUAUGAAAGUUAGGAGUGAAAGCCCAGGGCUUAACCUUGGAAUUGCUCUUAAAACUACAUGACUCGAAUCCGGGAGAGGGAUGUGGAAUUCCAGGUGUAGCGGUGAAAUGCGUAGAUAUCUGGAGGAACACCGGUGGCGAAGGCGACAUCCUGGACCGGUAUUGACGCUGAGGCGCGAAAGCCAGGGGAGCAAAGCGGGG
rnacentral:rRNA from 1 species